rnacentral:rRNA from 1 species
CCCUUAGAUGUUCUGGGCUGCACGCGUGCUACAAUGGCGCUUGCAAUAAGUCUUGCCAACCCGAUAGGGUGAGCGGAUCUUUGAAGAGGCGUCGUGAUCGGGACAGUUGAUUGCAAUUAUUCGACUCGAACGAGGAAUUCCUUGUAAUCGCGAUUCAUCAUAUCGCGCUGAAUACGUCCCUGCCCUUUGUACACACCGCCCGUCGCUCCUACCGAUUGAGCGAUCCGGUGAAUGUUUUGGACUGGCGUCAGAAGCGGUUCGCUCCUGACACUACGAAAUUUUGUAAACCUUAUCGCUUAGAGGAAGGAAAAGUCGUAACA